UAUAUAUACAUAUGUAUACAUGUACAUACAUACAUAUGCAUGUGUAUACACACAUACACAUACACACAUUUUUUUGGGGGGGGACCUUCACGGUGAGUAAAUGUGUCAAAAGGGGGAAGACCAUGGCCAUGCACGCUGAGAAAUCAACUUUCUCAGUUCCUGAUCUCUCCUGGCUACCUAUAACAAUGUUUGCUUUUUUGUUCUUAGCCCACAUCCCUUUGGCUCCUGGGAGCCCUGACAUACAUAGAGCCCUGGUGGUGACAAGCCAACCUCUAGCUCGGGCAGUAGGGAAGGCAGCAGUGGGGAUUCCCCGACCAGCCCUCUAGAGACCGGGGAACUGGGGCGGGGCAGGGACAUGGGGGGAGCUCCUGCCAGGAGCAGCGGGAGUAUUUUAAAAGUUUGCACUUUUCAGAGGACAGGAAUACACAAUUUCAACCAUGCUAUCAAACGGUUUCUCUUAUAAAGGAUAUAUAUAUAUACAGACAUACACACAUAUACAUAUACAUAUAUAUGUAUAUAUAUAUAUAUAAAGGAGGGGGCCUGCUGAGAGGGGACGUCAUACGUUGCCAUGGGAACAAUGAUCAGGAAAGGUCUCAAGGUUGCUGUGACCUUCCCCUAGCCUUACACUUGAGAUUUGUACCAGAAGUGGGUGGCCCCGAAGCAAGGAUUACAAACUGACCAGGCCCUGGAGAAGACUAGCUAUCUUCACGCAGGCUUAUUGGAAGCGCACAGAGAGCUGAGUUAAUUAUUUACCGUAGAGAUUUUUUUUUUCUAAGAGCAAAGCCUCCUUGGGAAACCAAACUUAGAUCUAGAGAAGGCUUGGCAAAGAUUCAGAAGUGAGGGGGCAGUAUCAGUCUCUUCCAUGAGAACAGAGACCUUUCCAGUCCUGUUCACUGCCUGAUUUCCAACUCCUGGAAUUGAGCCUGGUUCUCUGCAGGUCCUGGGUAACUAUUUGAAAAACUGAAGGAAGGUGGGUGUGGCCUUGAGCCAGCCAGCGUUCUCGUAGUCACGAAUACUUACCUGCGGUGUAAUUUUCCCACUUCUUCCAUUUACCCCUUUCGCAUUAUCUCCCUGCCCCCAAUUCUCCAGUGGCUCCCCAUCUCUGGCAAGAUAAAAUCAAUCAGAAACCCACUGCUGUCAAUCACCUGUCCCUUCUCUUUUGCUAAAGCUUUUUAUUUAUUUAUUUUACUGUUCCAGCAGUACUGAAAUAGCUCCCUCAUUUUAGAAAAUGUGCUUCCUUACACGUCUGUGUCCUCCCCUACCUGUUUCCCUUCUAUCUGACAGCUCCUACUCCUUCCCCAUGAAGCAUAUAACCUCCUCAAGAAAGCCCUCCAUCACUCAGGUAAGCAGACUUCCUAGCCCCCCCCCCCCCCCCCCCCCCCCACCCACCCAUUCUGUCCCCUAAGCUUGUCAUAUAGUGCUGUUACUUUCUGUUUAGGGUUCAGUCUCCCUUGGGUAGAGUUGCUUAUCUUUUUCUCAAUGGAUAUUAGGUACCUAGUUCAGCGAUUGCAGAUAUUAAGAAAACAUCCUAUUAGUUGAUUAAAUGUUGAAAGUGCCCCUUUCGAGAGUGAUUAUAUCAAUCAUUAUGUAAUGGUCCCAUAGGUAUUCACAGAAAGAAUUGCAGUUAUAUAACAACAGAAACUUAACGUUUAUUGGGUCCCAACUAGGUGCCAAAUAUUACAUCAAGUGGUUUUCAUUUCUUGUUUAAUCCCCACAACAAACCUGAGAGGUAGAUAUUAUCAUUUCCAUUUUAUUGGUGAAAGAACUAAAGCUCAAAGGUGAAAUAAUUGCACAAAUUUACACAA